rnacentral:rRNA from 1 species
CUUCGGUCAUAGAUUAAGCCAUGCAAGUGCUAGUUCAGGCAACGAAACUGCGAACAGCUCAUUAAUACGCUCAGAACCUAGAGGGUGAAGUCCGAGAGGACAGAAAGGGAUAGCUGCAGCAAUUCUGGAGCUAAUACCAACUCGUAAGAGGCAACCAGCAGAAAUGAUCACAGCUGGGUAGAAGACUGGGAGGCGAGCCCGCAGGUUGAGCGCCCUAUCAGCUAGUAGGUAGUGUCUGUGACUACGUAGGCGAUAACGGGUAACGGGCGGUUAUCGUCGGACUGCCGGAGAGGGCGCCUGAGAGACAGCGGCCAUACCCACGGGUAGCAGCAGGCGCGAAACUUACCCACUCGCCAAAGGCGGAGGUGGUAAUGGCCAGUUCCAGCGUCUCGUAAAGAGCGUGGGAAAGACUGACACGAAGCUUGUGUCGGGAAAGCGAGGAGAGGGCCAGUUCUGGUGCCAGCAGCUGCGGUAAUUCCAGCUCUCCAAGUCUGCUCCCAAUGCUACACUUAAAACGCCCGUAGUCUGAGUAAGAGGCACGCAAGUGCGCUCACGGUGAAUAAAUCGGAACGCUAAGAGUAAGUCUUAACUGUUUGACUGAGCACCGUCCGAGGUUUUUACCCGACAGGGUAAGAUCAACGAGAGCCACCGAGGCCGGGAGUAGUCAGUGACGAGCGGCGGAAUGUGUUGACUCACUGGCGACUAGUGGAAGCAAAAGCGCUCGGCAAGGGGGUUUCUGUCGAUCAGGGGCGAGAGUCGCAGGAUCCAACCGGAUUAGACACCCGGGUAGUUGCGACCUUAAACGAUGCCGACAGUGUCGAGUCCGCAAGGGCUGGACAACAGGAGAAAUCUCUAGUCUUUGGGCUGUGGGGGAACUACGAUCGCAAGGUUGAAACUUGAAGGAAUUGACGGAAGGGCACACCAGGGGUGGAGAUUGCGGCUCAAUCUGACUCAACACGGAGAAACUUACCAGGACCAGAUAUUUUUAAUGACUGACUAGCUAACGACUAUUCAGGAUAUGAUUUUUGGUGGUGCAUGGCCGUUGGUGGUGCGUGAACUGAUUUGUCUAAAGUCGAUUCGGGUAACGAGCGAGACGACCACCGCCUAUAGCAAGAUUCUAUUGCAAGAUAGAAUCAAGCACUAGUCGGGACUCCCUGCGUAGAAGCAGGCGGAAGAGGGUCGCAAUAACAGGUCCGUGAUGUCCUUUAGAUGCUCUGGGCCGCACGCGCUCUACAAUGCUAGGAGGAAAGGGUAGCAAAACCGCGAGGUGGAGCAACGCGAAGAGAUCCUAGCGUAGUUGGGAUUGACGCUUGACAUAAGCGUCAUGAACCAGGAAUCCCUUGUAAGCGUGUAUCAACAUUGCACGCUGAAUAAGUCCCUGCCCUUUGUACACACCGCCCGUCGCUCCUACCGAUUGGGUGAGUCGGUGAACGCGCUGGAGCCUUACGGUGAAGGCGUGUGAACCUGCUGAUUUAGAGGAAGGAGAAGUCGUAACAAGG